rnacentral:rasiRNA from 1 species
UUUGCAAAAACGAGAGCGAUAGA